GACGGAGGGUGCAAGCGUUGUUCGGAUUGACUGGGCGUAAAGGGCGUGUAGGCGGUUGGUCAAGUCUGUUGUGAAAGCCCCGGGCUCAACCUGGGAAUGGCAAUGGAUACUGGCGAGCUAGAGUGUGUCAGAGGAUGGUGGAAUUCCCGGUGUAGCGGUGAAAUGCGUAGAGAUCGGGAGGAACAUCAGUGGCGAAGGCGGCCAUCUGGGACAACACUGACGCUGAGGCACGAAAGCGUGGGGAGCAAACAGG
rnacentral:rRNA from 1 species